CCAUAAACCAAUCUCUUCUGAAAUAGGAGUGGUCACUGGGCAUUAGUCAGAUAUUCAAAUGAGCAAAGAUUCAAGAGAAAAAAAAAUGUCCUGCAUUAUUUGAAAAGGAAGGAAAAGAUCCAGAGAAGAAAACCGGCCUGACUCUGAGAGAAGGGCCUGAAAGGGAGAGGAAGGGAGGAGGUGGUCAGAUUCUGGGUCUGGAGCAGGGAGGGAGGGAGCUGCUGGUGCAGGAAUGACUGUCAGAGACACAUCCUGGAGGCCACAAGUCCACCUUCUCAACUAUUCCCAGUAAUUACAAAAACUCCUUUAAAGGAGCAAAUGCAGGAGAAGGAGGAGCCAUGCUAGAGGAGACCCUGAGAAUGGGGGAAGGAUUACAGGCUGUGACCUCAUUGGCACAGUCCUCUCAGUAGCGGUGGAAACCACAGCCUAGUCUUCUCACCACUGCAGACCAGAAUCCUCCCUGGGCCUUGCCUGGUCUGCCUGACUCUGCCAUGGGCUGCAGGCUCCUCUGCUGUGUGGCCCUCUGCCUCCUGAGAGCAGGUCCCUCGGACUCAGCCGUUUCCCAGACUCCAAAAUACCUGGUCACGCAGAUAGGAAAGGAGGAGUCCCUUAAAUGUAACCAAAAUCUGGGCCAUAAUACUAUGUAUUGGUAUAAACAGGACUCUAAAAAACUUCUGAAGAUAAUGUUUAUCUACAAUAAUAAGGAGCCCAUUUUAAAUGAAACAGUUCCAAAUCGCUUCUUGCCUGAGUCUCCAGACAAAACUCAUUUAAAUCUUCACAUCAAGUCCCUGGAGCUUGGUGACUCUGCUGUGUAUUUCUGUGCCAGCAGCCAAGACACAGCCCUGCAGAGUCACUGCAUCCCUGUACACAAACCUCCCAGCUCAGCCAGGAAGCUGUGGGGCAGUGUGUGCCCCUGCACCCAGGGCUCCAGUCUCCAUUCCCUGAUGGCCUCUGAUGGAGUUUCAGUCUGUAGUGCAGCCUGCCAGUGCACCUGUUGUGGCAAUUUUCCAUUUUAUGUACACAGAACUCUCUCAGAAUUCUAUUUAUCAGCUAAAGCAGGUGUUCAUGACAAAAUCAGCAAUGUAUCAGGGGUCAACUAACAAAACAGAAGCCUGUCCCAUGCCCUGAAGAUCUUAACUGAUGGGAAAAGCCAUUUCUUGUCUUUGUCUGCUGUACAUAUGGGUAUAUAUUUUCCGUAAUGUUAUGAUUAUAAACACGCUGUUGUUAAAAAUGGUUGAUGAGCAUAAGCAUAAAGGAGAGGGGAAGGAAAAUAUUUCUAAGAUCAAGAGACAAUUUGGAUUAACAGUUCAUGCCACCCCAAAAUCGAGCUCCCUUUCACUUGGAGUAGGACCAAGUGAAAUUUCUUUUUUAACGGAAAAAUAUUUGCAGAGGCAUGAAAUUCUAUGGCAGUAAAUAAACUGGAAAGAAAAUGUCAGAAGCCAGUGGAGGCAGCCUUGUGCACUGUAGACUCCUUCUCUUCAAGAAGAGUGACCAGCAGGAAUCUCUCCCAGUUCUGAUGAAUGUCAUCUUGAACUUUCCUCAAGAGGAGGUGACAGCCGGAUGCCUGGGGAUAUUGGGAGACAUGGAAAGGACUUUGGACACAAAUCUCUAGGCAGUGGUGAGCCGCUGGUCUUAUUCCAAGUGAAGCAACAUGAUGAAAUUGAUAUUUUGCUACAGUAACACUGGUAGUAGUGUGGAUCAGAAAGGAGAUGGAUUUUUGGGUGGCAAGAACAAUUAGGAGACUUCUAAAAUAUCCUGCAUGAGAGAUUAGAAAGGGUUCAUGUGAAGCAUUGUGAAUGACAUAGGUUUGAGGCUCUGGAUUAUGUUAUCUCUUAGAAAGAGUGUUGGGUUUUAUUCUGAGAAGGUUGAAUGCAGGACUUGCUAAGGUCUACUUCAGCUUUGCCCUCCCUCUUAGGGAGCCCCAGCAUGUAGUCCUCAUUGCUAGUGCAUGGCCUUUCCAGGUCUUAGUGGGAAUCAUUGUGAAUUCACUACAUCACUCCACUGUAACUGGGUCUGAAUGCCCUGUGUGUCUUCUGAAAUCUCUCCCCACGUCUUCAGCCUUCCAGAACUUGGUCUCUGCUCAGCCUUCUGGUCUCCCUUCCUCUGCAUCCACAAUUUAUGAUCUGGCCCAGGAAAAAAAA